UACGUAGGGGGCUAGCGUUGUCCGGAAUCAUUGGGCGUAAAGCGCGUGUAGGCGGUCCGGUAAGUCCGCUGUGAAAGUCGGGGGCUCAACCCUCGAAUGCCGGUGGAUACUGUCGGGCUAGAGUGCGGAAGAGGCGAGUGGAAUUCCUGGUGUAGCGGUGAAAUGCGCAGAUAUCAGGAGGAACACCAAUUGCGAAGGCAGCUCGCUGGGACGUUACUGACGCUGAGGCGCGAAAGCGUGGGGAGCGAACAGG
rnacentral:rRNA from 1 species